GUACACUCCUACGGGAGGCAGCAGUGGGGAAUAUUGCACAAUGGGCGCAAGCCUGAUGCAGCCAUGCCGCGUGUAUGAAGAAGGCCUUCGGGUUGUAAAGUACUUUCAGCGGGGAGGAAGGCGAUAAGGUUAAUAACCUUGUCGAUUGACGUUACCCGCAGAAGAAGCACCGGCUAACUCCGUGCCAGCAGCCGCGGUAAUACGGAGGGUGCAAGCGUUAAUCGGAAUUACUGGGCGUAAAGCGCACGCAGGCGGUCUGUCAAGUCGGAUGUGAAAUCCCCGGGCUCAACCUGGGAACUGCAUUCGAAACUGGCAGGCUAGAGUCUUGUAGAGGGGGGUAGAAUUCCAGGUGUAGCGGUGAAAUGCGUAGAGAUCUGGAGGAAUACCGGUGGCGAAGGCGGCCCCCUGGACAAAGACUGACGCUCAGGUGCGAAAGCGUGGGGAGCAAACAGGAUUAGAUACCCGAGUAGUCCCAU
rnacentral:rRNA from 1 species